rnacentral:lncRNA from 1 species
CUUUGCAAGAUCUUUAUUCCUCACAUCUCACUAUUGUUGAGCUUAGCUAUAAGACCUCGUUUGUCCGAGGCUGCUUAUAAGACUCCGAUAGUUUGAGAGUGAUUCACGGGAUGUCCAUUUCCCGCUUCGCCAGAUGCUUAUUCCUAACUUCGUGAGAUGAUUAUCCCUCACCCUUCACUAUCACGAGUCACCAGCUAGAUAUUUGUUCACCACUUCAUGAGAAGCCUUGUUGUACGAAUUACUGCAUUAUAGCCCCGCUUAUGUUUAGAAAGGUCAUCAUGCCUCUACAUAACAACUAUCUACGUUCAGUUCAAAGUCUGCCUCUGCAUCGUCAUCAGUACAUUUAUUCUGUUCAGAGUCGACCUCAGCAUUCGUAUCAGUACAUCUAUUAUGUUCAAUUCAGAGUCAGCCUCUACUUCGUUAUCAGUACAGCUGUUCAGUUCAGGGUCAGCCUCUGCAUUCGUAUUAGUACAGCUGUUCAGUUCAGAAUUUUGCUUCUGCCUCAGCCAUGUUACAUUUACUUAUCUUCGGAGAGCUAAUAUUACCUCAACAUGGCUGCACCAUCCACCAUGUCUGGGAUGCGUCGUCACCUCGAAGGAGAGGCUCGCGUCCCAUCUCUGGGCCACCUCGCUUGAACUCCGAGGCGUUAGCACAUGCCUCCCUUUGUCCAGGCUGAACGCCAAGGGGAGAAGCCCCAACAUGGCUGCACCAUCCACCAUGUCUGAGAUGCGUCAUCACCUCAGAAAAGAGGCUCGCGUCCCAUCUCUGGGCCACCUCGCUUGAACUCCGAGGCGCUAGCACAUGCCUUCCUUUGGCCAGGCUGAGCGCCAAGGGGAGAAGCCCCAACAUGGCUGCACUAUCCACCAUGUCUGGGAUGCGUUGUCACCUCGGAGGAGAGGCUCGCGUCCCAUCUCUGGGCCACCUCGCUUGAACUCCGAGGCGCUAGCACAUGCCUUCCUUUGGCCAGGCUGAGCGCCAAGGGGAGAAGCCCCAACAUGGCUGCACCAUCCACCAUGUCUGGGAUGCGUCAUCACCUCGGAGGAGAGGCUCGCGUCCCAUUUCUGGGCCACCUCGCUUGAACUCCGAGGCGCUAGCACAUGCCUUCCUUUGGCCAGGCUGAACGCCAAGGGGAGAAGCCCCAACAUGGCUGCACCAUCCACCAUGUCUGAGAUGCGUCGUCACCUCGGAGGAGAGGCUCGCGUCCCAUCUCUGGGCCACCUCGCUUGAACUCCGAGGCGCUAGCACAUACCUCCCUUUGACCAGGCUGAGCGCCAAGGGGAGAAGCCCCAACAUGGCUGCACCAUCCACCAUGUUUGGGAUGCGUCGUCACCUCGGAGGAGAGGCUCGCGUCCCAUCUCUGGGCCACCUCGCUUGAACUCCGAGGCGCUAGCACAUGCCUCCCUUUGGCCAGGCUGAACGCCAAGGGGAGAAACCCCAACAUGGUUGCACCAUCCACCAUGUCUGGGAUGCGUCAUCACCUCGGAGGAGAGGCUUGCGUCCCAUCUCUGGGCCACCUCGCUUGAACUCCGAGAUGCUAGCACAUGCCUCCUUUUGGCGAGGCUGAACGCCAAUGGGAGAAGCCACUUCACGUGAAUUCCGAGGCUCAUACAAUUAUUAUGCUUAAGUUCGGCUGCAACAGCAUUCGUUGGAUCCCUUCAGGUUAUAGUUAUUAUGCUUAAGUAAAGUUCAAUUGCUUAACGAGGCUAAUACACUUCGGAGAAAAACAGCAUGUGAUGAAGAUAGAUUACAGUGAAAAGUGAACUACACUAAGCCCAGUCAAUGGUGGAGGUGCCUCGACAGCAGGUGCCUCAGCAGCUUGAGCCUUACGAUUUAGCCUUCACAAGCCUCGCAGGUUCGGUUUCUCAACCACCUUGGCUUCACCACAUUUCAGCCUUCACAAGCCUCGCAGGUUCGGUUUCCCAACCACCUCGACUUCGUCACAAUUCAGCAUUCACAAGCCUCGCAGGUUUGGUUUAGUCAACCACCUCGACUUCUUCAUCAUUCAUUCACAACAACGCAUUUCUAACUCCAACCAUGACAUAAAUGACUAUACUUGAACUUGGGGGACUAUUAUUUGGAAUUAAAAAAUUCUUUCAAUUUUUACCCAACCCACUGGCUUUACUUCAUUGAAGUCCACGCAUUGCAUAAAUGAAUAUUAGACUCAAACUUGGGGGACUAUAGCAAUACUAGUACCUCAGCAUCACUACAUAUCAUUGCCAUAGCUUAUGUACUAUAUUGUUGCUUCGAAGCACGAAUACCAUAUUAUUGCUACCAUGUCAUACAUUAUUUUCAUCACAGCCAGUACGUAUCUCGUAUUAUCAUCAUUUUCAUUUUAUUGUCUACAUCAUGUUACUUGCUUCACUAUAGCACUACUGAUACACUGAGCUAUGCGAGCAUAUGAUUUAUUAUAAUGCAUGACAGACACUCUGCACAUAUCUUGGAGAAACGCGAUAUGUUACACCUUAUGAGCAUUUAAAGGGGCAAAUGGACCCCAAAUUUAUUUGGUAUAUGUGCUGUGGAUAUAUUGUAUUGUAUUACAGGAUUGGUUUAGUUCAUUUUACAGAGGAGAUGCUGUCGAAAUUUUGAAAAAGUAUACGCAGCAUAUCUUUCGAGGCAAUUUGUAAGUCCUCACUUAUUUUGACACAUUUUCUGAGGCAGUUCGUAAGUCCUCAUUUAUUGGAGCGACUCAUAUUUCUCGAGGCAAUUCGUAAGUCCUCACCUAUUCGAGAUCGAUGCAUAUUUUCGAGGCAAUUCGUAAGCCCUUGCUUAUUGGAGCUACCCAUCUUUCUGAGGCAAUCUGUAAGGCCUCGCCUACUUGAGAGUUUAGAUUUCAAGUCCGACCCGCAUAUAAAUAACACGACUCGGACUUGGGGGACUACUGUUACGCCUAUGAAUUAUCACUCCAUAUUGGGCCACCUUAUUGGACCCGAGCCAGGCCCAUUAGUGUUGGGCCUCAAAUCCGAGGCUCUAAGAAGCUUAGCCGAGGCGCCACCGAGGCCAUAAAAAGCCCAGCCGAAGUGCCUAUCACUUUGCUCACCUCAUACUGGGCUCGAACUUAGGCCCAUUAACCCGCCUUAGCCCAUUUCACAUCAUUUCUCUAUAUAUAUGGAUUCAAUUCACAAGUUAAGGAAUGUUCUAAAUACUCUAGCCAAAUCCCCUAUCUCUCUACUAUUGCACUCUAUAUAUCUAUCUCCGUCCUGCCGUUGACUUGACAGUCGGAGUGCAAACGGUCACCAGACCUUUUUCUCGUCUGGCCGCCUUUGCCUCUUGACGGGUGUUACAUGCGCAGGUUUCGAGGGGACAAAGCUAGGGUGCCUGUUGGAGCCAUUUUUAGAGGUCAACAGUAAAUGUAGAAUCACAAAUUGCAGUUUGACAUUGUUUACUUACAUCUGCUUCUUCAAAGUAGUAGAGUCAUUCACACUCUUUAGAACUACCAAUCGUCUUCCCUGGUGAUAGGCCCUGAAAAAACACAACAAGAUGGGAGAAAUUUAGCAAAGCAAUUUAAAUGUUAGUCAAUUGACUAAUAGAUAAUAGAUUGCAAGAUAAAUUUGGAACAUGAACGGAUUGAAGACUUGUGAAUUUGGAGAUUUGAAUACUCUCUUUUCAUACAACAGGUUAAAGUGAGCCAUCUGUAAUUUUAACUUUAGUAUUACCGGUGCAGGUUGAGUAUGGGGAUAAGAGAUGAUAAGAGUUCGUCACGUGAUCGGGUGCCCCUGAGUCAAUAAUCUAGAGAGUUUUAUAUUUUGAGGUUGAAUUUAGAGCUCUUAAGAAUUAACUUUGUGGGCUCGAGAACUCGAUGGGCUAUUUAUGGUCAAGUAACUAGACGUUUGGAGACUAGAGAAAAUCUGGCAUAGUUGCUCCAUUUGUUUAGGAUUAAAUGCGCCCCUUGAAGAUUUUAUUUCCUUGGAUCACUCGGUCGGGUAACUGGAGACUUGGUAGCCACAGCUUCUAAAUUUUGGUUUUGGUUUCCAAUCCCUUGGUUUCCCAUGUAAUACCUAACAUGUGUCUUCUUCGUGUCCCGACUUUCGACAAUGCUCGCACCAAGAACGUUUGUUUUAGUGCUUUGGGCUUGACCCAUUAGAUGACCUUUUAGAUAUGAGUGCUGAAAUCAUAGCAGGCCCAUCAAUUUUUGAAGCUUUAAAUAGCCCAACUCUAGUUUUAGAAGAUGGUAUAUCUUGAGGCCCAACUCCAUUUUUAAAGCCCAUUACAGCAAUCCCAUACCCUUUAGACAACAGCGCCGACAUAUCCACUCCAGAGGUCCGAUCUCCGUCAACAUCGUCUUCCUCCUGCUCUCAUCUCUUCUCACUUCAUAAAACACUUCGCCUUCUGAGUCGUGGUUAAGACCGACUAAGAACUCAUGGACUCUUUCAUUUUCAAACCCUUUUUUAAAUCUCACGAUGUCGCCCGGGCACUCCCAUGCUUCUUCGAAAUUCAAAUUUGCUUCUUUGAAAUUCAAAUCAAGUUCCUGCAAGAGAGAGGACAUCUCCAUUUAGUACUCUGUCACUUCCCUAUCUCCUUGUUUUGCUAGCCACAAACGGGUCUUAAUUUCAAAUAUCUUAGAGCAGUUUUCUGAGUCUGAGUACAUCUCCUUCACGGCGUCCCAUAUGUCUUUUGCUGUAGGCAGAAAUAGAUAGGUUUUUUAUGAGCUAAGAUGUUACCAUUGAAUUUUCUGAACUCCACUUCUUCGAGAGGACAGGAUCUAUAGGUUUCUUCGUUUCACCAGUAAUGUAACCAAUCCUACCUUUUCCGUCGAUGAUUAGCUUUAUUGACUGAACCCACUUUCGAUAGUUCCUUCCGUUUAGUUUUUCAACUCUGAGAUGGAAGGAGGAGUUAUCGGGGCUGUGUGACUCCAUUAUUGAGGUGGCUUCGGUUUCACUGUUUGAUGGUUGAGUGCUCAUUGACCCUUUACUGUUAAUGGGGAUCCGCCAUUGAUUGCGAGGAAUUAGUGGCCAACAGCCGGUUGACCCGAUCAGUUUUUCAAAGAGGCCUUUGACCAAUUAAAAAAAAAAAAAAAAAANUGAGAUGGAAGGAGGAGUUAUCGGGGCUGUGUGACUCCAUUAUUGAGGUGGCUUCGGUUUCACUGUUUGACGUUUCAGUGCUCAUUGACCCUUUACUGUUAAUGGGGAUAUCCGCCAUUGAUUGCUAGGUUUAAAGUACCUAGCUCUUAUAUCCUGAAAUUAGAAUUAAUAUUUUGUAAUUUCUUGAUAAUAAUGUACAAACUAUAUGCUUCAAUUUAUUUUUUUAUUU